CUAUCAAGUUCCAGCUCAUCCAAAGCGACUUUGCGUUGCUCUUGUAACCGACUUUCAAGAAUUUCGGCUUCUAUUUUUUCUUGUUUUUCUAAUUCCUGAAGCUCCUGCUCUCUCCUUUUCGCAAGUUUUUCUUCCAAUUCCGCGCGUUUAACUUUCCUUGCAGAUUUUUGCUCACGUUCCGACUCUUGCUGAAAUUUGCCCAAAGUUCCCAGUAAAGCUCCGAACAUCCUUCUUCCUCGUUUCUGUUCGACUGAGUUUUCACUGGUGUUCUUUUCUUUUACUUGACGAUGGUCAUCUUCUUCCAUUGAGCCUUCUGGCUGAUCAAUUUCCAUAUGGGAGUCUUCAUUAUUAACUUUUCCGUCUAAGAUUGGAGCUUCCGAUAUCUUAACAUUUUGCACUGUCGAUUUUGCAGACAAUUCCUCGCGCCUCUCAUCCAUCGCUCUAGUUACAGUUUGCGUCGGUCAUUAGCGAUGCACUCUACACUUUAUGAAGUAAAAGGUCCUAACACUACAACAGGAUUAUCGCUUACAAAAUCUUCAUUAUAUAUAAAAAGUAGCACAAUAAUUACAGUAAAGCGAUGAAUAUGAACAAAAAAUUUAAAUUAGUAAAAUUAAUCCUCAGACAAGGAAAAUAGUAAUAUACAUGCUAAAUGGAAACACUGGAAGAAGACUGAAGCCAAAGAUGGAGUUAAGGGGUUAAAAAAAUGAAUUUGUAAAGUCAAACGAUAGCUCUACUCACGCAAAAAAUCAUCGGGGAGUUCAACAACACUGUAACGAUGUCCAUUCACAGUCAUUAUAUUAGCAAUAUUCGGCAAUUUAGCAGGCGAUUUCCUAACUACCUCAGGAUUCUUUCCAACAGUCUCAGUUUCUGCUUUUCCAGAGUCGUUUUCAACUGACUUCAAUUUCGUAUUUUGCACAGACUCCACAGUCUUACCAACUCGUAGAUUGCUUCUUCGAACACUAGGAUUUGAGUGGUUACGGAAAUUAGAUUCCAAAAUUGUAUCUUCACUAGCAUUUUCUUUUCCCAUAACGGAAGACGGGAAAACAGAUCGAAGGUAAUCCUGUAGAUGACUGUCCAUUUCUAAAUCCUCCUUCAAGAAUUUAAUAGAAAUUUUAAAUUUCUGAAUUUCUAUCAUCUGGGCUAGCAUAUUUUUCUUCAACGUAUUCGAACAUCUUGCUAAACGAAUUCGGGUCCGAGAUUGAAUAGGUUCAAGAUGUAAUAUAUUGGCAGCAUUUCUUCUCUGUACAGUCAUUUUUGAUUCCCCCUGCCUUAAAGCUUCUUCUAAUUUAUAAAUUCUAUUUUGCACAAUAUACACACGAACUUUGGAACACUCUAAUACUUCACUCCUGGUUUCCUUUGAAGCUUUCGACAUCGCAUCCGAAUCUUCGUAUAUGUCGGGAAGAACACUAACGGAAGCCUUGAUGCUCUUAUCAGACGAUUCAACACACGGAAGCCUCUCACGAGGAGCUAGACCCGCAGUAGCAAACGUACUCACAAAAUUUAUCUUCACCAACCAGUCAUUUAAUUCGUCUACAUUAGUAACAGAAAAGACAUGAGUUCUCUGAUUUUUUUGCUUGACACUGAAGGAAUACAGUUCAUUUUCUAUACGAGAACCAUCACCGUAUGCAACUAAAUCAGACAAUGGGAUAAUGUAAUCAGCAGAAAGUGAAGUUAAAUGAGGCGAAAAAUAGCAAGGAGAAAAAGAAUGAGAUCUUUUGAAGUCUUCCAACUGAUCCAGUAAUCCACUUAUCCAAUAUACGUUUUUGAAGAACAUCAACUGCGAGCUUGUUAAAAUGACACCCACCUCUCUGUUGGAAAGAAGGCGAUCUUUUCGAACCUUCUCAUUUUGAAUGAGUAUGCCAAGUUUGAAAACUUUGACGUUUAUUAUCGCAGGAUUGGUGCUUUCGCUUUCUGCACUCGGUUCAAAGUGAUAAGAAAACGCUUGGGGCUGUGAUCGGUGCGAGACGAUCUGCAAAAAUGGGGCUCUAGCAAACUCUUUGUAUAAGUCAUCAGCAGUGCGAGUAGGAGAUUCAAUACUCGUACGGACACUGUCAAUUUUUUUUAAGUCUAAUAUAGAAUCUAGAUUAAUACGGAAACCCGUCAACUGUUCUUGUAAAGCCUGAUGGUCACUUUCGGUAGCAAAUGUGUUUCGUUUAGUAAGACGAAAUUGAGAAUCUCCUAGUCUUUGUGACAAAGAUGGUUUUUCAUUAGAAGGAGAAGUCACAACACAACCAAUAUGCUCUACAUGAACAAAUGGAGUGUAGGUAAUAUUAUCGUAAAAGCAUUCUAAUAUCUCUGGAAGAAUGGUUGGCAAAUUAGUAUUAGAGAUGAACUCGGCACGAGUCAUCUUUUGUCGAUUAUGGAUGUUGAAAAAGUCCGUAUGCAAAAUCAUUAAAGAAAACGUAAGUAUGUAACAUUCAUCAGAAGAAUCGUAUAAAUCGGGAUUGCAAUGAAAGUAUUGGUCUGAAAAUGUGCUCAAAACUCUAUCGAUUUGCUGGGUCUCAUUAGGAAGAACAUAGACAGCAAGAAACUUGCGAAGAGCCAUGUCUAACGAAAUACAUUUGAAGUUGACCACAGACAAAUACUUUCUCAGGCAAAGUUUUAGAAGUGAUGAAGUUCCCUGCGACAAUAUGGCAGGAGUAAACUGCUUAGGAAUUGUAAAUUCCACCUUCUCCAAGAUGGUUUCAACGGUGUCAUGCUGAUCUAUAUCUGGCAGUGCGAAAUCCGAAAGAGUAACAGAAUUAUGUUUAUGGUCACAAUUUGGUGCAGCACCAAAAUCUUCAGAUACGCUAGACUGAUUUGAAGCCGGCGUUCGCGCACUGAAGUUUGAAGAAAGAGAAUUUACAGACUUCGAACGAGGUAAGUAGGUAGAGGAGUCGAUUGAAGAACGGGAAGGAGAUCCGAAUGUCGAGCCCGCAUAAGAGCCGGAUGGAAAAAUUGAAAGAGUAGAAGCAGCUAACUCAGCGAUGGUAGAGGUAUGCGUUGGAGAUAACUGCGAAUCUGUGGGACUAGCAUUUGAGGAAAAGAUUGUCGACCAAUUGGAAAGAAAGAUUGAAGACUGACUAGAAGGACGUGAUUUUUUAUCAGGCAAGUUCAACGAUGCAUCAUCGCCAUGUCCGUUGGAGGAGGAGGUUGGUAAGAAAGGGGAGGAGCAUUGUGACGAGCUAGAUUUGGAAGAGCGCCAACGCUUCGGUAUGGUGAGCUUCAAGGCUGAAGAGACUUUAUUGGAAAGUUUCUGGGAAGAGGAGUGACCAGAUUUUGAAUCCAAAUCGGUAGUCGAAUCUCCGGUGUAUGCGGAAGAGACUGGGGAGUGUUGAGAGGAGACCUUGGGGGUGUCCGAAGUGAUCGUAACUUUUGGCUUAGAUUUGGACUUUCUAUUUUUUUUCUCCAAAGCGCUACGCAGGGCAGACUUACCCUUUCUCCGGGAAGGAAGGGGAGGAGACGGCUUAUGAGCAGAAACCAUCUCAUCUAAACCAUGCAAAGCGGAAGAAGAAGCUAUACGAGAAGAUUCGUCCAUGUUCUAUUAAAAAGGGAAUUUUAAAUUUAUUAAAAGAAAUAAAAAAAAAACUUUUUUAAAAUUUCCUACGAUUAAAGAGUUCAGAACCUGGAAAACAAAAAUGCGUCUCGAAAACCCUGAGCAACACAAACGACAUCAAACUUCAUGAAGAAGCAAUUGCACAGGAUGAUUGUGAUUAACUGAUAGGGUUCUCUUUUCUAAACAAAAAAAUAAAAGAGUAUCUUUUCAGCGAAAAAUGAAGUUUUUAAAUAAUAAAAGCGUAGAUCAUAGCCGCAGUUCGUUUUGGAAGAAGAGAGCGAUUCUUGAAGAGUAUAAUUACAGCAGACGACGGAAUGGCAAAGCAGUAAAGAGGAAAAGACUUAAAAAACCUAUUUUUCCCUACUAAGCACAAGAAAUGAAUAAAACUAAUUAUGCCUUGAAUGAUAGGAUGAGGGGGGUAAAUAUUGACUGUGGAAGAUGAGUGAGAAACGAUGUAACGAUUCAAUGGUACGCAGCGAGGCGGGCAUUGGUAAUACUGAACGCAGAGGCAAGUGCCCCCAUAAAAAAGAGGACUUAUGUGGGGGUGGAUCGACUAGUUAAUCCUAAUGUAAACAAUGGAUGGAAAGAACUAAAAAAUGAUGAAGAAGAACAUUAAGAGAAAAAACAUAUAGUAAGUUAUAUACUA